rnacentral:rRNA from 1 species
AGAGUUUGAUCCUGGCUCAGAGCGAACGCUGGCGGCAGGCCUAACACAUGCAAGUCGAACGGAUCCUUCGGGAUUAGUGGCGGACGGGUGAGUAACACGUGGGAACGUGCCCUUUGGUUCGGAACAACUCAGGGAAACUUGAGCUAAUACCGGAUGUGCCCUUCGGGGGAAAGAUUUAUCGCCAUUGGAGCGGCCCGCGUAGGAUUAGCUAGUUGGUGGGGUAAAGGCCCACCAAGGCGACGAUCCUUAGCUGGUCUGAGAGGAUGAUCAGCCACAUUGGGACUGAGACACGGCCCAAACUCCUACGGGAGGCAGCAGUGGGGAAUCUUGCGCAAUGGGCGAAAGCCUGACGCAGCCAUGCCGCGUGAAUGAUGAAGGUCUUAGGAUUGUAAAAUUCUUUCACCGGGGACGAUAAUGACGGUACCCGGAGAAGAAGCCCCGGCUAACUUCGUGCCAGCAGCCGCGGUAAUACGAAGGGGGCUAGCGUUGCUCGGAAUUACUGGGCGUAAAGGGAGCGUAGGCGGAUAGUUUAGUCAGAGGUGAAAGCCCAGGGCUCAACCUUGGAAUUGCCUUUGAUACUGGCUAUCUUGAGUACGGAAGAGGUAUGUGGAACUCCGAGUGUAGAGGUGAAAUUCGUAGAUAUUCGGAAGAACACCAGUGGCGAAGGCGACAUACUGGUCCGUUACUGACGCUGAGGCUCGAAAGCGUGGGGAGCAAACAGGAUUAGAUACCCUGGUAGUCCACGCUGUAAACGAUGAGUGCUAGUUGUCGGCAGGCAUGCCUGUCGGUGACGCAGCUAACGCAUUAAGCACUCCGCCUGGGGAGUACGGUCGCAAGAUUAAAACUCAAAGGAAUUGACGGGGGCCCGCACAAGCGGUGGAGCAUGUGGUUUAAUUCGAA